GGUUAAGCGACUAAGCGUACACGGUGGAUGCCCUGGCAGUCAGAGGCGAUGAAGGACGUGCUAAUCUGCGAUAAGCGUCGGUAAGGUGAUAUGAACCGUUAUAACCGGCGAUUUCCGAAUGGGGAAACCCAGUGUGUUUCGACACACUAUCAUUAACUGAAUCCAUAGGUUAAUGAGGCGAACCGGGGGAACUGAAACAUCUAAGUACCCCGAGGAAAAGAAAUCAACCGAGAUUCCCCCAGUAGCGGCGAGCGAACGGGGAGCAGCCCAGAGCCUGAAUCAGUAUGUGUGUUAGUGGAAGCGUCUGGAAAGGCGCGCGAUACAGGGUGACAGCCCCGUACACAAAAAUGCACAUGCUGUGAGCUCGAUGAGUAGGGCGGGACACGUGGUAUCCUGUCUGAAUAUGGGGGGACCAUCCUCCAAGGCUAAAUACUCCUGACUGACCGAUAGUGAACCAGUACCGUGAGGGAAAGGCGAAAAGAACCCCGGCGAGGGGAGUGAAAAAGAACCUGAAACCGUGUACGUACAAGCAGUGGGAGCACGCUUAGGCGUGUGACUGCGUACCUUUUGUAUAAUGGGUCAGCGACUUAUAUUCUGUAGCAAGGUUAACCGAAUAGGGGAGCCGAAGGGAAACCGAGUCUUAACUGGGCGUUAAGUUGCAGGGUAUAGACCCGAAACCCGGUGAUCUAGCCAUGGGCAGGUUGAAGGUUGGGUAACACUAACUGGAGGACCGAACCGACUAAUGUUGAAAAAUUAGCGGAUGACUUGUGGCUGGGGGUGAAAGGCCAAUCAAACCGGGAGAUAGCUGGUUCUCCCCGAAAGCUAUUUAGGUAGCGCCUCGUGAAUUCAUCUCCGGGGGUAGAGCACUGUUUCGGCAAGGGGGUCAUCCCGACUUACCAACCCGAUGCAAACUGCGAAUACCGGAGAAUGUUAUCACGGGAGACACACGGCGGGUGCUAACGUCCGUCGUGAAGAGGGAAACAACCCAGACCGCCAGCUAAGGUCCCAAAGUCAUGGUUAAGUGGGAAACGAUGUGGGAAGGCCCAGACAGCCAGGAUGUUGGCUUAGAAGCAGCCAUCAUUUAAAGAAAGCGUAAUAGCUCACUGGUCGAGUCGGCCUGCGCGGAAGAUGUAACGGGGCUAAACCAUGCACCGAAGCUGCGGCAGCGACACUAUGUGUUGUUGGGUAGGGGAGCGUUCUGUAAGCCUGUGAAGGUGUGCUGUGAGGCAUGCUGGAGGUAUCAGAAGUGCGAAUGCUGACAUAAGUAACGAUAAAGCGGGUGAAAAGCCCGCUCGCCGGAAGACCAAGGGUUCCUGUCCAACGUUAAUCGGGGCAGGGUGAGUCGACCCCUAAGGCGAGGCCGAAAGGCGUAGUCGAUGGGAAACAGGUUAAUAUUCCUGUACUUGGUGUUACUGCGAAGGGGGGACGGAGAAGGCUAUGUUGGCCGGGCGACGGUUGUCCCGGUUUAAGCGUGUAGGCUGGUUUUCCAGGCAAAUCCGGAAAAUCAAGGCUGAGGCGUGAUGACGAGGCACUACGGUGCUGAAGCAACAAAUGCCCUGCUUCCAGGAAAAGCCUCUAAGCAUCAGGUAACAUCAAAUCGUACCCCAAACCGACACAGGUGGUCAGGUAGAGAAUACCAAGGCGCUUGAGAGAACUCGGGUGAAGGAACUAGGCAAAAUGGUGCCGUAACUUCGGGAGAAGGCACGCUGAUAUGUAGGUGAAGUCCCUCGCGGAUGGAGCUGAAAUCAGUCGAAGAUACCAGCUGGCUGCAACUGUUUAUUAAAAACACAGCACUGUGCAAACACGAAAGUGGACGUAUACGGUGUGACGCCUGCCCGGUGCCGGAAGGUUAAUUGAUGGGGUUAGCGCAAGCGAAGCUCUUGAUCGAAGCCCCGGUAAACGGCGGCCGUAACUAUAACGGUCCUAAGGUAGCGAAAUUCCUUGUCGGGUAAGUUCCGACCUGCACGAAUGGCGUAAUGAUGGCCAGGCUGUCUCCACCCGAGACUCAGUGAAAUUGAACUCGCUGUGAAGAUGCAGUGUACCCGCGGCAAGACGGAAAGACCCCGUGAACCUUUACUAUAGCUUGACACUGAACAUUGAGCCUUGAUGUGUAGGAUAGGUGGGAGGCUUUGAAGUGUGGACGCCAGUCUGCAUGGAGCCGACCUUGAAAUACCACCCUUUAAUGUUUGAUGUUCUAACGUUGACCCGUAAUCCGGGUUGCGGACAGUGUCUGGUGGGUAGUUUGACUGGGGCGGUCUCCUCCUAAAGAGUAACGGAGGAGCACGAAGGUUGGCUAAUCCUGGUCGGACAUCAGGAGGUUAGUGCAAUGGCAUAAGCCAGCUUGACUGCGAGCGUGACGGCGCGAGCAGGUGCGAAAGCAGGUCAUAGUGAUCCGGUGGUUCUGAAUGGAAGGGCCAUCGCUCAACGGAUAAAAGGUACUCCGGGGAUAACAGGCUGAUACCGCCCAAGAGUUCAUAUCGACGGCGGUGUUUGGCACCUCGAUGUCGGCUCAUCACAUCCUGGGGCUGAAGUAGGUCCCAAGGGUAUGGCUGUUCGCCAUUUAAAGUGGUACGCGAGCUGGGUUUAGAACGUCGUGAGACAGUUCGGUCCCUAUCUGCCGUGGGCGCUGGAGAACUGAGGGGGGCUGCUCCUAGUACGAGAGGACCGGAGUGGACGCAUCACUGGUGUUCGGGUUGUCAUGCCAAUGGCACUGCCCGGUAGCUAAAUGCGGAAGAGAUAAGUGCUGAAAGCAUCUAAGCACGAAACUUGCCCCGAGAUGAGUUCUCCCUGACUCCUUGAGAGUCCUGAAGGAACGUUGAAGACGACGACGUUGAUAGGCCGGGUGUGUAAGCGCAGCGAUGCGUUGAGCUAACCGGUACUAAUGAACCGUGAGGCUUAACCUU
rnacentral:rRNA from 1 species